GGCCGCGCCCUCAGCUCCAAACCAGACGCCCAAGAUUUUGAUGAAAUCCGCUCUGAUGUUGAAGGGGAUGGGCGCAGAAGAAGGCAGAAAGAUCCCACUUCCU